rnacentral:tRNA from 1 species
GCCCCGAUAGCUCAAUGGAUAGAGCAACGCUCUUCUAAGGCGUUGAUGUGGGUUCGAUUCCUACUCGGGGCA